rnacentral:lncRNA from 1 species
GUUCAUUCUUAUUUAAUUUUUGAAAGUAUUCUUGCCAUUCAGAUGGGUCGAUAGUAUUCUCAGAUUUGUUUUGACUAUUAUUUGAGAUAUUUUUAAUUUUAUCUAGUAGUUGCCAAUAGGCUUUGGGAUUUUGAUCAUAUAAAUUAUCGAGUUUAUUCAUGAUGUCUUGUUUGAAUUUUCUUAUUUUUGCUCUUCUUUGUUUUCGAUACGAUUUCAGGCAUUUAAAAAAGGACCCUCGUACAUAAGGAUCUGUGUUGUGAUUUUGCAUUAAUUUGUAUUUUCGAUAUAAGUUUUGUUUUAAAUUUAUUAUAUCUUGAUCUUGCCAUUCUCUAUUCUUUUUAAUUUUCUUCUUCUUGCUUUUUUUUGGUUUUCUAAUAAUUUUCUUUAGUGAUAAAUCUGCGGCUUUUAGAAAAAUCUUAUUUAAAUCUUCUGCGGCAUUAUUAAUUGAAUCUUGGUCAUAAAUUUUAUCUUUAUACUGUCUAAUAAAAUUUUUGAUUUCAUUUGAAUUUAUGGCAUCUUGAAAUGCUGAGACUGAGUUAUCAUCCCAUAUAUAUUUAUCUGGCAUUAAAGC